ensembl:lncRNA
CCUCUGCAAGGUGACACUCACAGGUCUGGAGAGUGAGGGAGCAGCAUGGCCAGGACAGCCUCCGCCGGCAUCACGGGGCAUCCAAGGCCAAGGCUACAAAGGGUUUUGGCCCUGAAGAGAGUCUGUUCAGCGUUUGCUGACCCCAGAACAUGAAUGGGAGUGUGUAUCUGUCCACGUGUCCCACGAGGAGCUGAUUGUGUGAACAGAGCAUUAGAUGACUUCGUGUGCAGUUUACGGAAAAGGCACAGGGAACCAGAUUUACUGACAGAUCUGUGAUUAGAUCUGGGCCAGACUCGGCUGCAGGAGGUGGAGGUGGCCUGGGGCUCUCCUGCUCUGCCCUGAACCUGCCCAGACCAGACGGGUGCCACUGCCACGCUGUCCCCUGGUGCUCCUUCGAGCCCCCCCCACCCCCAAACGUCCAGGCUCUGAGAUCUGAGUGGAGGAAUUGGCCUCAUAGCCGAGGAACCUGCAGUGCUGGGGCCUCUUCCUGGACACAGUGGGCACCGUGCCCAGGCCUAGCCCUGGCGGGCGUCCUGUGGCUCCCACCCAGGGCCGCACUGAAGGACUCUGGGGCGUGUGGGACUCUUGCUCCAAGUCUGGGGGUGCAGGAGUGACAGUCCUGGACACGCCAUUCAGCGAGCAGGGCAGGAGGGUCCUCCUGCAGCUGCAGCCUUGUCUGAGGGGUCCCGGCUGUAGCCCCUCCCUCCCAUCUUUCCCCCUUUUGUUUAUGUUCCAGCAAAUUAGAACUGGACACCACAGCAGGCUCCGUACUGUGGCUUUGGUGACCUCAGAGUGCACUGGCCAGCCUCCAGGCUGCGGGCAGCCUGAGUUCUCACACGGGAGCACGUGGGGUAGUUUUCCAAGGAACUCCUUGGGCUUAAUUCCACCCCAGUAAUGCUCUGCACACCUGGCUCUGUCCCCCGAAUGUUGCUGGGGGGCCGGAUGUAUUGGGGCGCCCGUUUUGGUCUACUUCGGGGAGCCUAAGAGGUGAAUGAGGACAGAGGAAGACGUGGAACCUCGGAAACUGGGUGUCCACCCAAGUUCCCUGUGGAGUGAAGGGACAUCUGCCUCUGAGGGGACAGGGGCCUGCAGGCAGACAGACUGACAGGUGUCCACAUGGGCUGGAUACUAAGAAGAGUCCAAGCGCAGAGUGGGUCUGAGCACAAGUUACUGCUCAAAACCUGAGCAAAGAGGACAGUGGCUACAGGUGGGGGGGGGGGCAGUGAGGUGAGGGGAAGGGCAGGAGCAGAGGGACGGCGGUUGGGGGUGGGGGGGCAGGCCCUGGGGACUCCCUGUUCCAAAUAUACCCAAACACGACCACCUGGCCCUCAGGGACUGCCCCCGCUGCUCAGCACGCCAAGUGGCUUCUCAGUCCC